rnacentral:rRNA from 1 species
CCAGACUCCUACGGGAGGCAGCAGUGGGGAAUUUUGGACAAUGGGGGCAACCCUGAUCCAGCCAUGCCGCGUGUAUGAAGAAGGCCUUCGGGUUGUAAAGUACUUUUGUUAGGGAAGAAAAGGGAAGUGCUAAUACCACUUUUUGCUGACGGUACCUAAAGAAUAAGCACCGGCUAACUACGUGCCAGCAGCCGCGGUAAUACGUAGGGUGCGAGCGUUAAUCGGAAUUACUGAGCGUAAAGCGAGCGCAGACGGUUAUUUAAGCAGGAUGUGAAAUCCCCGGGCUCAACCUGGGAACUGCGUUCUGAACUGGAUAGCUAGAGUGCGUCAGGGGGGGGUAGAAUUCCACGUGUAGCAGUGAAAUGCGUAGAGGUGUGGAGGAAUACCGAUGGCGAAGGCAGCCCCCUGGGAUAACACUGACGUUCAUGCUCGAAAGCGUGGGUAGCAAACAGGAUUAGAUACCCUGGUAGUCCACGCCCUAAACGAUGUCGAUUAGCUGUUGGGCAACUUGAUUGCUUAGUAGCGUAGCUAACGCGUGAAAUCGACCGCCUGGGGAGUACGGUCGCAAGAUUAAAACUCAAAGGAAUUGACGGGGGCCCGCACAAG